CCUACGGGGGGCAGCAGUGGGGAAUAUUGCACAAUGGGCGAAAGCCUGAUGCAGCAACGCCGCGUGAGCGAUGAAGGCCUUCGGGUCGUAAAGCUCUGUCCUCAAGGAAGAUAAUGACGGUACUUGAGGAGGAAGCCCCGGCUAACUACGUGCCAGCAGCCGCGGUAAUACGUAGGGGGCUAGCGUUAUCCGGAAUUACUGGGCGUAAAGGGUGCGUAGGCGGUCUUUCAAGCCAGAAGUGAAAGGCUACGGCUCAACCGUAGUAAGCUUUUGGAACUGUAAGACUUGAGUGCAGGAGAGGAGAGUGGAAUUCCUAGUGUAGCGGUGAAAUGCGUAGAUAUUAGGAGGAACACCAGUAGCGAAGGCGGCUCUCUGGACUGUAACUGACGCUGAGGCACGAAAGCGUGGGGAGCAAACAGGAUUAGAUACCCGGGUAGUCC
rnacentral:rRNA from 1 species